AUGCCGCCGCGUCGCCGUGGUUCUUCAGGCUACCGCGGCGUCCGCGAGCGCCCCAACGGCUGGUACUCCGCCGAGAUCCGGUCCGGCGACGUCCGGCUCGGCCUCGGGUCGUUCCGGAGCGCGUACGACGCGGCGGCGUGGCGCUUGGAUAGGCCCCGGUCGCAGAUGAACUUCCGGGACGUCUUCACGCGCGAGCAGGCGCAGCGCGUCGCCCCUCCGCCGCGUCUCAUCACCAACAUGGACCGUGCCGACCACGCUCGGCGCUGCCGCCGCCUCCUCAUCGCCGAGGAGGACGAGCGAGCCAUGGCGGAGUGGCGCCGUCGCCACCUGGAGGACGUCGCCGACGAGCGUGCCUACUGGGCGGAGAGGACGGCAAGGCGCCGCGCGGAGUGGGCGGACCGGCGUCGGCGGAAGGCAUUGGCGAAUGCGCAGUGCGAUAUCGUUGAAGCAUGUGGGAGGUCGAUCUUCACGUCAAACGAUGAACGUUGGGACGACAUAUGGCUCGAUACCUCGGACAACACCGACGAGGAUGAUGAUGGUGAUGAUGGUAGCGACUUGGAGUAG
rnacentral:rRNA from 1 species